GAGUACCUGCGCCAGAUACGUGCACACUGGGACAAGACUGACCUGCUGGCACAAUUGUCUGUCAAGAAAAAGUUAUUCCAAGAGCCCAAGAGAGCAAGCCAGGUGGAGCAGGUGCUGAUGGCAUAUUCCAAGUGCAUGAUAUGCUGCAUUCAGGCAGGAGGCCAUCUGACAGGGGUCUUGCUCCUCUGUGUGGUUGGAGGGAAGAUGAAUGAAGGGAACAACUUUUCUGAUGAC